UACGUAGGGUGCGAGCGUUAAUCGGAAUUACUGGGCGUAAAGCGUGCGCAGGCGGCGCCGCAAGUCAGGCGUGAAAUCCCCGAGCUUAACUUGGGAAUGGCGCUUGAAACUACGGUGCUGGAGUGUGGCAGAGGGAGGUGGAAUUCCACGUGUAGCGGUGAAAUGCGUAGAUAUCUGGAGGAACACCGGUGGCGAAGGCGGCAUCCUGGACCAAUAUUGACGCUGAGGAGCGAAAGCCAGGGGAGCAAACGGG
rnacentral:rRNA from 1 species